GGCGGUCCCUGCGGCCGCUUCUCAUCGCCUUCCCUUUCUCCGGGAGGUGCUCGUCGAGGCCGCGUGAGGGGGAUUGCUGGAGCGGAACUACCAAGCAGAAGCAGGCAUUGCACUGUCAGUUGUCAUCAGGUUUGCAAUCAGAUUGGAAAAGCUGAACUUGAAGCUUCCUGCCUGCAGUGAGGCCGAGAGAUACCUACUGCUCGCAUAAUAAAAGACAUGAGCUUCAACGUGACUCUCCACCUUUCCUAUAAAUUCCGAUUACUGUUGCUCUUUACUUUAUGCCUGACGGUGGUUGGGUGGGCCACCAGUAACUACUUUGUGGGUGCUAUUCAAGAGAUUUCUAAAGCAAAGGAUCUCAUGGCUAGUUUGAACAAGGGUGUAGUUUUGGGGAAGAAAGGAACUGUGACAGAGGAAGCCUCUGUGAAAAAAGCAGACCUUAACAACUGCUCUUCUGUGUCUCCACACCUCAAAGGCCAGAACAAGCUCGUUUUCAAACCAGAUCUCACUCUGGAAGAAGUACAGGCAGAAAACCCCAAGGUGCACAGAGGCCGGUAUCACCCUGAGGAAUGCAGGGCUUUGCAGCGGGUCGCCAUCCUCAUCCCUCACCGGCACAGAGAGAAGCACCUGCUGUACCUGCUAGAACACCUUCACCCCUUCUUGCAGAGGCAGCAGCUGGAGUAUGGCAUCUAUGUCAUCCACCAGGCUGGAAGUAAAAAGUUUAAUCGCGCCAAACUCCUGAAUGUGGGCUAUCUAGAAGCUCUCAAGGAUGAAAUUUGGGACUGCUUCAUAUUCCAUGAUGUGGACCUGGUGCCCGAGAACGAUUUGAACCUUUACAAGUGUGAGGAUCAGCCCAGGCAUCUGGUGGUUGGCCGGAACAGCACUGGGUACAGGUUACGUUACAGUGGGUAUUUUGGGGGUGUUACCGCCCUAAGCCGAGAGCAGUUUUUCAAGGGUUGAGCUUCAUAGAAUGAAAAUAACCCGGCCACUGCCUGAAGUGGGUAAAUAUACUAUGAUCUUCCACAAGAGAGACCAAGGCAAUGAGGUGAAUAUAGAACGGAUGAAGCUCUUACAUCAGGUGUCACGUGUCUGGAGAACAGAUGGGUUGAGCAGUUGUGAUUAUAAAUUACUCUCUGUGGAUUACAAUCCUUUAUACGUCAACAUCACAGUGGAUUUCUGGUCUGGCCCAUGACCCUGGCUCUUCUGCUGACAUUUGGAGGAACUGAGUAUUUGAUUGCAAUAAUUUUGGCCUAGAGACUUCCCCUAGUAGCACACAUUAAGAACUUGUUGCAGCCAGUUAUUGAGCUGAUUCUCCCUCUUUCAUAUUUCCUUAGCAGAACUCCUGGUGAUACAGAAUGUAAAACAAUUGUUUUGAUCAUGAGGGUUAAAUAUUGUAAUGUAGAUACUUGAAGGACUAAGUAUAAAAGGACCACUCAGAAGAUGCCAUGAAGGCUAUUUGAGAACUCUGAUUGAAGGAGAUUUAUUUAAGUUUGAAGUGACACAUAUUUUCUGGGAUAAAAAAUGCCACAGGAGAUAAGAUUGCUGAAUGUCCCAGAGAACCAGGAAAGGGUUGAAGAUAUAUUUCUGUUACUCAUUUAUCCUGCAUGGUCAUCUGGGAAGAGGUGGGUCCCGGGUGAGAUGAAGGCCGAAGAAGAGGGGAGAAAGGUGAAGAAUGAAGAUGCCACGAACUUGGGACCGAAGAGGUGGCAGAAGGACCGCAUCAGGCGGAGAGCAGCUGCGGUGGUUGUACUGUUGCUAUGGCUGCUGCCCUGCGGCAGGUGUCACCUGCCCAGAUACACCUUCCAGUAACAUUUUAUCUACUAGUUUUUAGAACAUUUUUGUAAAAUGAUUUUGUACGUGUAGGAUAUGAAGUAGCAGUUUACAAAUUACAUAUUAACUAAUAAUACAUCGGAAGUACCUCUGUAGUAAAAUAUGAAAAAGCUUUGGGUGGUCAAUCUUGUUUUUUACUAUUGUUUUGUUACCAAACCAAACUUGGGUCCGCUUGCCCACAUGCAGUGAAGCCAAUCUACAGACACUGCGUUGUGGUGAAGGAAAGCACAGCGUUUACUGCAGGCGCCAAGCAAGGAGU